UGUUGGUUCUCCCGCAACGCUACUCUGUUUACCAGGUCAGGUCCGGAAGGAAGCAGCCAAGGCAGAUGACGCGAGUGCCGGGAUGUAGCUGGCAGGG
rnacentral:SRP_RNA from 1 species